UUUUACAUUUUUAGACGUGGUCUGACUAUAAACAGGGACUUAAGAGAAGAGCUGCAGAUAUAAAAAGGGAGCGAAUGAAGACGGGGGGUGGGCCAGCAUAUCCUGAUAUGCUAUCAGAUACUGAUCAAAGAGUUAUCCUUAUUUUGGGAAAAACAUUUUUUGAAGGAUGUGGAGUGGAGGAGAAGGGUGUCUCUAGACGCACAAUUAAUUUUAGGCGCGCAUUUUAGACACGCCACUGAAACCAUAUCUUAAGCCCCAUCGUCAUGGAGGACGACGACGCGUCACUCUACCACGUCGCACGCCACGAGUAGCAACUCCGACUCCCUAUCGGGAAAACUAGGUGCUGCAAGACAGGUUGGCCACUUUAAUUGUGGAGGAUUGCCUUACCUUGCCUUGCUGAACAAAAACUGGUAGUGACAUUAAUCUGAGACACGCGAGGACGUGUGACCUGUCAGUAUGGCCGUGUCGUAGUGGCUGCUAAACGUCAAGCCUUAUCAAGCUUGGGUGGAAUCGAAAAAAAUAUUCUCGGGGAAGUACCGAAGUGAUGGAAGUGCUGCUUGCAUACACGGGAGUCGGGACUGAGGCAGUCACGAUUUGGCAUUACCGUCGAGAUCUCCGCGUUUAGCGAUAAACCAAUCUUUUUUUAUCUCUGUAUUUUUACAACUGUAUUUUGUUUCUUUCAAAUAAUUAUUAUUCGUGGACAGUUAGUUUGUGACUUCAUAGUACAUACUUAGUUAAUAAAGUUUUGUGCAAAGACAGUGUGUUUCGAUUAUGGCUGACAAACCCUCAGAGAGUCCCCCGACAUAUUUAUGUA
rnacentral:misc_RNA from 1 species